GAUGAACGCUAGCGGCGCGCCUAACACAUGCAAGUCGAGCGGAAUACUGGAGUAGCUUGCUACUUCAGUAUUUAGCGGCAAACGGGUGAGGAAUACGUUGGUACCUCCCCUCAAGUCAGGGAUAACUCUUCGAAAGAAGUGCUAAUACCGGAUAGUCCCUACGGGGUAAAGCAGCAAUGCGCUUGAGGAAGGGCCUGCGUCCUAUCAGCUAGUUGGUGAGGUAAUGGCUCACCAAGGCAAUGACGGGUAACUGGUCUGAGAGGACGGCCAGUCACAAUGGAACUGAGACACGGUCCAUACUCCUACGGAGGCAGCAGUGAGGAAUCUUCCGCAAUGGACGAAAGUCUGACGGAGCGACGCCGCGUGAAGGAUGAAGGGUUUAUUCUUGUAAACUUCUUUUCUCUGGGAAGAUAAUGACGGUACCAGAGGAAUAAGGGACGGCAAACUACGUGCCAGCAGCCGCGGUAAGCUGUAGUCGU
rnacentral:rRNA from 1 species